CUACGGGGUGCUGCAGUAGGGAAUCUUAGACAAUGGGGGAAACCCUGAUCUAGCCAUGCCGCGUGGGUGAUGAAGGCCUUAGGGUUGUAAAGCUCUUUCGCUGGGGAAGAUAAUGACGGUACCCAGUAAAGAAACCCCGGCUAACUCCGUGCCAGCAGCCGCGGUAAUACGGAGGGGGUUAGCGUUGUUCGGAAUUACUGGGCGUAAAGCGCGCGUAGGCGGGCUAUUAAGUCAGGGGUGAAAUCCCGGGGCUGAACCCCGGAACUGCCUUGGAUACUGGUGGUCUUGAGUUCGAGAGAGGUGAGUGGGAUUCCGAGUGUAGAGGUGAAAUUCGUAGAUAUUCGGAGGAACAUCAGUGGCGAAGGCGACUCACUGGCUCGAUACUGACGCUGAGGUGCGAAAGUGUGGGGAGCAAACAGGAUUAGAUACCCCGGUAGUC
rnacentral:rRNA from 1 species